CAUAGCCAUGAACCAUGACGAGGGUGGGGGAAUUUUCCUUGCUAUCAAAUGUGACUGUAUUGAUGAAUCUGGGCUGAUCGCUGGAAGACCUGAACCAUCUUAUUUGUGACCCAGGUGGCCCAGAACCAAUAUUGACCUGCUCUUGCACAUAUUUGGUUUUGACAAGCGAGAGGAGCCGCUUCUCGGCGGCGAUGAUGCGGUCAGUGG
rnacentral:misc_RNA from 1 species